rnacentral:lncRNA from 1 species
AGCUUUCCUUCUCAGACACACAAAACCGAACCAUCGCCACCAGUAAUAAAAGCAUGUGAAGAACCGAUUUCUGGCAGAGCCCAGACUCACACUAGUUCAGACCCAGAGGGAGAAUCUUUGCGUGAUGUGGCCCAGUAAAUAUGGUUUGCCUACGGUUCUUAUUGCAGGUUUAACGGCUACGGCUGUCACCGAGAAACCACUGCAACCCUGCAAGGACACCAGCGGCUGUAGCCUGCUUCUGUCAGGACACCAACACUGUUACUCCAACAGUAUGAAAAUAUUUGAAACCAUCAGCAACAUUCGCUUGACCUCUACCUGGUCUUUCUGCUGGCUCCCAGCACAAUAGUGCUGUAUUCCAGUCAUUAUAUGCAUGGGAAUUAAACUAAGUAGUGGGUGGAAAAGUGAAUUAGAUUUAGGGAGUGAAACAAUGCAUGGCGGUUGAGCUGUAGAUAUUGCRCGUAACCUUUCCCAUGCUGUUCUACUCAGUCGCUUCUAAUGCCUUUCAGAGGGCAGCAUUAAGUGACAGCACUAGCAUCUGCUUUCCUUUUUAUAAACUGAAUAAUAUGAUCGUUUUAUAAUCUCUGCUGAACCUCCUUAGUGAGCCUUAAAAUCCAGGCUGAUUUGUCAGCCAACACAAAGCAGCCAGUGCUUCGCUGCCCGGCACCGGCGGCCAAGGGAAAUCACCCCAAAACAUGAUUUAGCCCUGUUUAAUUCGCAGCUCCCGUGCGCUUCCUAYCCUACGUGCCUGAAUAGCAGGGGAAGGCAUGCAGCGCACAGUGCCCGUUGCAGACAUUUGCAAGAGCACCUAUAYAAUUUGCAGAGGUCCAAGUGGUGCCUACGUCCUUACUGCGUGCAUACGUGUGUGGAAGUGGUGCAAUUUGACAUUUCRUAUUUCCUGAAUUCCCCCAGCUUACCCUCUCCCAUCUGGCACCAAAAUGGGGGUUCUCUAAAGCUAUUAGUAUUAUUACCAUUACUACUGCUGCUAUUAUUGUUAUGACAG